rnacentral:rRNA from 1 species
GACGAACCGUGCGAACGUUGUUCGGAUUCACUGGGCUUAAAGGGCGCGUAGGCGGGCGACCAAGUCAGGGGUGAAAUCUUUCGGCUCAACCGGAAAACUGCCCCUGAUACUGGCCGUCUUGAGGGAGGUAGGGGUCUGUGGAACUUCUGGUGGAGCGGUGAAAUGCGUAGAUAUCAGAAGGAACGCCGGUGGCGAAAGCGACGGACUGGACCUUCUCUGACGCUGAGGCGAGAAAGCUAGGGUAGCGAACGGG